UGUAAGCGUAUACCAAAGUUGUUGCAGUUAAAAACGCUCGUAGUCGGAUUUUGGUAGUUCCGGAUCUGUGCGCGUCGUGCGCGCAGUUUGCAGGGGCUGCUUUUGUGGGCAUGCGUCGGAUGAGGCGACUUUAUUGUUGAACGUCCGUACGCAACCACCAUUUACUGUGAAAAAUUAGAGUGUUCAAAGCAGGCAUUUGCCGUGAAUACAUUAGCAUGGAAUAAUAGAAUAGGACUUGGUCUUAUUUUGUUGGUUUGUUAUGGCCGAGUAAUGAUUAAGAGGGACAGUUGGGGGGCAUUUGUAUUCCGGAGCUAGAGGUGAAAUUCUUAGAUUUCCGGAAGACAAACAGCUGCGAAAGCGUCUGCCAAGGAUGUUUUCAUUGAUCAAGAACGAAAGUAAGGGGAUCGAAGAUGAUCAGAUACCAU
rnacentral:rRNA from 1 species